ACACCUGAAACACAACGCACACACACCUACAUGAAUACACACACACACACACAAUCGUAAAUAAACACACAAGUAAGAGUAAAGAUACAAAUUGGGGGUAUACGUUCAGGGCCAGUGUGACAUCCAGGUUACCACAGUUUAUCUUCCCCAGGUUUCCCGAGGUACACAUUCAUUAACCAGCUGAAAGGGAAGAUGAACAACUGGGUGGACUGCAUACUGACUCCCUUGUAUUGGGAUUAGAACCUGGGGACGUGGAUUCACACACACACACACACACACACACACACACACACACACACACACACACACACAGGUCAGUAUAAUAAGACACUUUUGCUCCUUACAUCAAUUAUUUCUAAAGGUCAAAGAGGGGAUCAAUUGGGUUCUCAGAGUGUUUUUUUUAGGUUCAUGGUACAAAAGAGGUGCAAAACUACCAUCAGGGUCAUAAAACUACUCCUUGAAAUGCCCAAAACUCAUGUGAAAGGCUUGUCAAUUAUGUUUCCUAGGUGCAUGGUACAGAAGAAGGGUCAAACUACCAUCAGGGUCAUAAAACUACUCCUUGAAAUGCCCAAAACUCAUGUGAAAGGCUUGUCAAUUAUGUUUCCUAGGUGCAUGGUACAGAAGAAGGGCCAAACUACCACCAGGGUCAUAAAACUACUCCUGGAAAUGCCCUAAACUCAUACAAAAGGCUUGUCAAAUAUGUGUUUCCUAGGUGCAUGGUACAGAAGAAGGGCCAAACUACCACCAGGGUCAUAAAACUACUCCUGGAAAUGCCCUAAACUCAUGUGAAAGCCUUGGCCAAUAUGUGUUUCCUAGGUGCAUAGUACAGAAGAAGGGUUAAACUACCACCAGGGUCAUAAAACUACUCCUGGAAAUGCCCUAAACUCAUACAAAAGGCUUGUCAAAUAUGUGUUUCCUAGGUGCAUGCUACUGAAGAAGGGCCAAACUACCACCAGGGUCAUAAAACUACUCCUGGAAAUGCCCUAAACUCAUACGAAAGGCUUGUCAAAUAUGUGUUUCCUAGGUGCAUGCUACUGAAGAAGGGCCAAACUACCACCAGGGUCAUAAAACUACCCCUGGAAAUGCCCUAAACUCAUGCGAAAGCCUUGGCCAAUAUGUGAACUUGGGCGACGGAAUGUUUUAAAAUACGACCCAUAUACACACAUUUUAGUAUUCACGUUUCUGGCCUUCAUGAAUUUGGCACUUUUCUUUUGGGGGAAGGGGAUUGAUUUUCUGUCUGUACAAAUUUGGGUGAUUCAAUUUUUUCUAAGGGAAUUCAUAUGUUUUUCUGUGUUCUUGUGGGGAAAUAGAAUGCUUAGAUUAUAUAAAAUUAAAAUCACUUCAUGCAGUCUCUUAAGAUGUACAGUUUUCACAUUAACAUCUCCUUAUUCUAACUUAAUUAACUUACAACAUACAAAACUUAACUACCAACAUACAAAAAAGGUGGUCAGCAGUCAGCCAUUGUAUUUAGUGAGCAAACAAAGUCAGCAGAGGUCAGUAAAGUCAGGAGUAGUCAGCAGUUCGUAAGGUCAGCACAAAUCAGAAAGAGUCCAGUAUUUAACCCGGUAGCAGCAAUGGGGCAAAUUUGUGGCUUUACCAUGUAGCAGAGACAGGCCAAAUUUGUGGCUUUACCGUGUACCAGCGACGGGCCAAAUUUGUGGCUUUACCGUGUAGCAGAGACAGGCCAAAUUUGUGGCUUUACCGUGUACCAGUGACGGGCCAAAUUUGUGGCUUUACCGUGUAGCAGCGACGGGCCAAAUUUGUGGCUUUACCAUGUACCAGCGACGGGCCAAAUUUGUGGCUUUACCAUGUAGCAGCGACAGGCCAAAUUUGUGGCUUUACCGUGUAGCAGCGACAGGCCAAAUUUGUGGCUUUACCGUGUACCAGCGACGGGCCAAAUUUGUGCCAUGAUUUAACCCCCCCAAAAUAGAUGAUACAUAAACUGAUCACAAAUGCUUUGAUAUAUAUUAUGAAAUGGUUCGUGUGAGUGAUGAUUUUUUUUCUCAUUUUUCUCGCUUAGAGGAACCAUUAAGAAACAUGAUCCUCGCUGCUACCGGGUUAAUUAAAAGAGUAAUGUCACCAAAUACAGAAAAUCUUACACCAUAUGAAGCAGAGUCAGCACAAGUCAGCAAAGGUCAGCAGAAGGCCUAUCAUUAUAUACAGCAACUCUACUGGUCUGGCAAAUCUGC